rnacentral:rRNA from 1 species
UUUCUUUGCUGGCGACCGGCGCACGGGUGAGUAACACGUAUCCAACCUGCCCUUUACUCGGGGAUAGCCUUUCGAAAGAAAGAUUAAUACCCGAUGGCAUAAUGAUUCCGCAUGGUUUCAUUAUUAAAGGAUUCCGGUAAAGGAUGGGGAUGCGUCCCAUUAGGUUGUUGGUGAGGUAACGGCCCACCAAGCCUUCGAUGGAUAGGGGUUCUGAGAGGAAGGUCCCCCACAUUGGAACUGAGACACGGUCCAA